rnacentral:lncRNA from 1 species
NUGGUUCACCAACAUCAUUAUCAAUUGAAAUUCCAGCAAACCAACAACUAACAUGGCAAUGGUAGUGUUCAUACAACAAAACAGCCAACAGCAUGUAAGAUCAAUCAUGGCACGAAACAUCAUCAUUGAGCAUACAAUAACCAACAUUAGAACAAGCAUACUCAUGGAGAAAUCUGGGGAGAGUUCUGUUCUAUGGUUUUA